rnacentral:misc_RNA from 1 species
GAAAUGCGAUAAGUAAUAUGAAUUGCAGAUAUUCGUGAAUCAUCGAAUCUUUGAACGCACAUUGCGCCCUUUGGUAUUCCAAAGGGCAUGCCUGUUUGAGCGUCAUUUCUCCCUCAAACCCUCGGGUUUGGUGUUGAGCGAUACGCUGGGUUUGCUUGAAAGAAAGGCGGAGUAUAAACUAAUGGAUAGGUUUUUUCCACUCAUUGGUACAAACUCCAAAACUUCUUCCAAAUUCGACCUCAAAUCAGGUAGGACUACCCGCUGAACUUAA